UGGCUUUGGUCAAAGUCAAACUACUCUAAGUUUGAUUAAUUUUGUAGAAAAAAAGUAGUAAUAUUUUUAACCCAAGACAAAUAUAUUAUGAAAAAUUAUUCAAUUAUAGAUUUAAUGAAACUAUGCUGGUGUUGUAAAUAUUACUACUUUUUUCUACAGAACUAGUCAAACUUAGUCAAACUUAGAGUAGUUUGACUUUGACCAAAGUCAA
rnacentral:pre_miRNA from 1 species